rnacentral:lncRNA from 1 species
AUUUAGUAAGUAUAGGAUUCAGUAUUUAUGUGUUGGGGUUGGGGCAUUGUUUAGUAUUUAGUGAUUGUGGGUUUAUAUUUGGGUUUAAGAUUUAUUGAUUAAUGUUUAGAGUUUAAUAUUUGGAAGGUGGGAGUUGAGAUUGAGGUCAUCAUUAUCUUCUUGCAUGUAAUCAUAAUAUAAUUUCACUAAUAUGUAUUAUGCUAUUUAUUUUGUUCCAUUAUGUUUGGGUUUAUGAUUUAUAUUUGGGUUUAAGGUUUAGUGAAUAAGGUUUAGGAUUUAAUAUUUAGAAGGUGCGGAGAUAUUGUUGAGGUCAGCAUUAUUCUAAAAUUAUAGACAUUUCAUAAUUUUACCAAUAUAAAUUUUGUUAUUUAUUUUGUUUCAUUCUUUUUGGUUUAGAAUUAUAUAUGAGUUUAUGGUUUAUAUUUAGUUUUAGGAUUUACUAAUUAAAGUUUAGUAUUUAAAGUUUGGGAUGAGGUUCAGAUAAAUUUUAGUAUCUAGAUCGUAGGAGUUGAGAUAGAGUCGGUGUCAUAUAUUAUUUUAAUGAUAUGGAAUUAGAACAUUUUAGCUUUCUAUGUUGGAAGAACAUGUUUACAUGUGGGCCAGAUAUGUAGUGGUCGACGUCAUCUCUUUUUUAUUUGUUAACUUAUACCAA